AAAUACUUAGUGGCGGACGGGUGAGUAACGCGUGAGAAUCUGCCUUCAGGACGGAGACAACAGUUGGAAACGACUGCUAAGCCCCGAUGAACCGAAAGGGAAAAUAUUUAUAGCCUGAAGAUGAGCUCGCGUCCGAUUAGCUAGUUGGGGGGGUAAAAGCCCACCAAGGCGACGAUCGGUAGCUGGUCUGAGAGGACGAUCAGCCACACUGGGACUGAGACACGGCCCAG
rnacentral:rRNA from 1 species